GCCUUAUGGUUUGAAGCUGACUAUUGUGAAUGUAUUUACUCCACAGAGGUUGGCCAGUGUUAUUCGGAGCUUUUGAUCUUUCCCUAGGGAUUUGGCAGUUAAAGCAACACAGCAUGUGUUUCUCAACUCCUUCCGCCACCAAAAGAAAAGAAUCUUUCUGAGGUUAUGAAUUUCUUUCACUCUGGAUUCUGGGAUGAGAACAUUGAUGGGGUCUGCUGAGCAUAGACCAUACUGGAAGUGACGAGUAG
rnacentral:lncRNA from 1 species